rnacentral:piRNA from 1 species
UGCAGAUUUGUUUGUCCAGGAGAGA